UGAUCCAGCCAUGCCGCGUGCAGGAUGACUGCCCUAUGGGUUGUAAACUGCUUUUAUAUAGGAAGAAACCCCCGAACGUGUUCGGGGCUGACGGUACUAUAAGAAUAAGGACCGGCUAACUCCGUGCCAGCAGCCGCGGUAAUACGGAGGGUCCAAGCGUUAUCCGGAUUUAUUGGGUUUAAAGGGUACGUAGGCGGAGUUUUAAGUCAGUAGUGAAAGCCCAUCGCUUAACGAUGGAACUGCUAUUGAUACUGAUACUCUUGAAUAUAGUUGAAGUGGGCGGAAUACUGGCAUGUAGCGGUGAAAUGCAUAGAUAUGCCGUGGAACACCAAUCGCGAAGGCAGCUCACUAAGCUAUUAUUGACGCUAAUGUACGAAAGCGUGGGUAGCGAACAGGAUUAGAUACCCUGGUAGUCCACGCCGUAAACGAUGAUUACUCGGUGCUGGCGAUAUACAGUCAGUGCCUAAGCGAAAGUGAUAAGUAAUCCACCUGGGGAGUACG
rnacentral:rRNA from 1 species